rnacentral:rRNA from 1 species
AGCGCACCCUUGUCUUUAGUUGCCAUCACUUAAUGGUGGGAACUCUAGGGACAGUGCCUGUGAUACCCCAGAAGAAGGUGGGGACGACCUCGUCUCAUCGGGGCCUUUAUGGGGGGGGCUACACACGUGCUACUGUGGCCGGCACAGAGGGCCGCAAACUCGCGAGGGAGAGCAAAUCCCACAAAGCCUGUCCUACUCCGGAUUGGACUCUGCAACUCCACUCCGUGAAGUCGGAAUCGCUUGUAAUCGCAAAUCAAAAUGUCGCGGUGAAUACUUUCCCGGGCCUUGUACACACCGCCUGU